rnacentral:misc_RNA from 1 species
UGGGCAUAUGAUAGAGAACAGGCUGAGCUGGCUCUUGUUGAAUUACCCCAUUUUCAUGAGGCAACUUUCGGGAAUUUCUUUGUGACAAAUGUAAAAUUAAGCCUUUCAUAUUUGCUUCAAGUGCUCCAGCUCUAACCUGUAUUAUCCGAUUUAUAGCGUAUAUCAAAUAAAGGGGUUCAUCAGGAGAUGUAAAUGGCAGCAUAGCAAGUAC